rnacentral:tRNA from 1 species
GUCUCUGUGGCACAAUUGGUCAGCGCAUUCCGGCUGUUAACUGAAAGGUUGGUGGUUCAAGCCCACCCAGGGACG